rnacentral:tRNA from 1 species
GCCCCUAUAGCCUAAUUGGAUAGAGCGCUGGCCUCCGGAGCCAGAAGUACCUGUUCAAAUCAGGUUAGGGGCA